rnacentral:rRNA from 1 species
AUUGAACGCUGGCGGCAUGCCUUACACAUGCAAGUCGAACGGUAACAGGUCUUCGGAUGCUGACGAGUGGCGAACGGGUGAGUAAUACAUCGGAACGUGCCCGAUCGUGGGGGAUAACGAAGCGAAAGCUUUGCUAAUACCGCAUACGAUCUACGGAUGAAAGCAGGGGACCGCAAGGCCUUGCGCGAACGGAGCGGCCGAUGGCAGAUUAGGUAGUUGGUGGGAUAAAAGCUUACCAAGCCGACGAUCUGUAGCUGGUCUGAGAGGACGACCAGCCACCCUGGGACUGAGACACGGCCCAGACUCCUACGGGAGGCAGCAGUGGGGAAUUUUGGACAAUGGGCGAAAGCCUGAUCCAGCCAUGCCGCGUGCAGGAUGAAGGCCUUCGGGUUGUAAACUGCUUUUGUACGGAACGAAAAGACUCUGGUUAAUACCUGGGGUCCAUGACGGUACCGUAAGAAUAAGCACCGGCUAACUACGUGCCAGCAGCCGCAGUAAGAC